UAAGGAAUAUUGGUCAAUGGGCGGAAGCCUGAACCAGCCAUGCCGCGUGCAGGAUGACUGCCCUAUGGGUUGUAAACUGCUUUUGUCCAGGAAUAAACCUAGAUACGUGUAUCUAGCUGAAUGUACUGGAAGAAUAAGGAUCGGCUAACUCCGUGCCAGCAGCCGCGGUAAUACGGAGGAUCCGAGCGUUAUCCGGAUUUAUUGGGUUUAAAGGGUGCGUAGGCGGCCUAUUAAGUCAGGGGUGAAAUACGGUGGCUCAACCAUCGCAGUGCCUUUGAUACUGAUGGGCUUGAAUCCAUUUGAAGUGGGCGGAAUAAGACAAGUAGCGGUGAAAUGCAUAGAUAUGUCUUAGAACUCCGAUUGCGAAGGCAGCUCACUAAGCUGGUAUUGACGCUGAUGCACGAAAGCGUGGGGAUCGAACAGGAUUAGAUACCCUGGUAGUCCACGCCCUAAACGAUGAUAACUCGAUGUUGGCGAUAGACAGCCAGCGUCCAAGCGAAAGCGUUAAGUUAUCCACCUGGGGAGUACGCCCCGCAAGGUGAAACUCAAAUGAAUUGACGGGG
rnacentral:rRNA from 1 species